GACAAACAUCACUGAAGUUCUGUAAACUGCCAUAUAACUUACAUGUGUGUCACACAAUGUAUACCAAACAUGUGCAGAAACAAAAUUAAGUGCUAUUUUAAUUAUUCACCUUUUGGGAUGUGAAAACAUAUGUAAACAUAAUUGCACAGUUUUUGCUGAAAAUGAACAAAAGACAGCCUCUACCUAAGGACUUCAGUUGUAUAUCAGAAAGGAAAAGGUUCAUCAUAGUACAGUCCUAUGUGUUCAUACAACCUGACUUUAAUAUCCUAUCUGCUGCAGAAAUACCUAUCAGCGUGUGCUCUUUCAAAUCAGAUUGAAAAGCAAAGAAAAUAAAUUAUUUUAAAUUGCUAGUUCAAAGACAUUCAUAUGA
rnacentral:lncRNA from 1 species